GUGCCCGCAGCCCGGGGUAAUACGUGGGGGGCAUGCUUUUUCGUGAUUUAUUGCGCGUAAAGCGCGCGUAGGCGGUUUUUAAGUCUGAUGUGAAAGCCCACGGCUCAACCGUGGAGGGUCAUUGGAAACUGGAAAACUUGAGUGCAGAAGAGGAAAGUGGAAUUCCAUGUGUAGCGGUGAAAUGCGCAGAGAUAUGGAGGAACACCAGUGGCGAAGGCGACUUUCUGGUCUGUAACUGACGCUGAUGUGCGAAAGCGUGGGGAUCAAACAGGAUUAGAUACCCUGGUAGUCC
rnacentral:rRNA from 1 species